rnacentral:rRNA from 1 species
CGUCAAAUCAUCAUGCCCCUUAUGACCUGGGCUACACACGUGCUACAAUGGGCGGUACAAAGGGCUGCGAACCUGCGAGGGGGAGCUAAUCCUCAAAGCCGGCCUCAGUUCGGAUUGGAGUCUGCAACUCGACUCCAUGAAGUCGGAGUCGCUAGUAAUCGCGGAUCAGCAAAGCCGCGGUGAAUGCGUUCUCGGGGAUU